GAAAUGCGAUAAGUAAUGUGAAUUGCAGAAUUCAGUGAAUCAUCGAAUCUUUGAACGCACAUUGCGCCCGCCAGUAUUCUGGCGGGCAUGCCUGUUCGAGCGUCUUUACAACCCUCAGGCCCCCGGGCCUGGCGUUGGGGAUCGGCGGAAGCCCCCUGCGGGCACAACGCCGUCCCCCAAAUACAGUGGCGGUCCCGCCGCAGCUUCCAUUGCGUAGUAGCUAACACCUCGCAACUGGAGAGCGGCGCGGCCACGCCGUAAAACACCCAACUUCUGAAUGUUGACCUCGAAUCGGGUAGGAAUACCCGCUGAACUUAAGC
rnacentral:misc_RNA from 1 species